AAGUCGGCUAGUCAGUCACCUCGGCGGUUAUGGGCCGGCGGGGUCUUGGCAAGUUUGAACAGCACCGCCGAUUCCCGCCGCUUGGUUAAACUAACAUCUUGGAACGUGUUGCGUUUCCGAGCGGGGACAGAGUGCUGAGGCAUUCCCUACGGUGACGGUUCGCGCCAUGGCUGGACACCCAAGGAGGGAGCGUGCGGGCGCGCGGGACCUCGGCCAGGGAAAUACUUCCGCGGUCUUGCUGAAUUAUCGAUAUUAAAAACAAUAACAAGGGUUUGGAAUUCCAGAAUCAGUUGGCCACCUGCAGUGAUCAGCCUGCACUAGUCUAGAUCCUGCAUAGAAGAGAAAAAAAUACAUCAUUCUUUCUGAAUCGGGCUUAUUUUGUUUAACAAGAUGAUCUCCAAACUGGAUGCUGGUGUCCUAGCUACUCAGGAAGCUGAGAUGUGCCAGCCCUGGCAGAAAAGUUGGUGAGACUCUUAUUCCCACUAAAAAAACAAAACAAAAAACAAACAAACCCAGAAGUGGAACUGUGGCUCAAGUGGUAAAGCACUAGCCUUGAACAAAACAGGGACAGAGGCCAGGCCUGGAAUUCAAGCCCCAGGACUGGCACAGAAAAAGAGGGGGGAAAAAAGAUGAUCUCCACUUCUCUCCAUUUUCCUACAAAAACUAUAUUGUCAGUGUUCAUAUUAGUCUCAUUCUGUAUAUAUACCACAUUUUUAAUCCACUCAUCAGUUGAUAGCACUUAGGCUGUUCCUUUUUGUGUGUUGUUGUUUUUGCUAUUAUGAGUAGUGUUGCAAUAAAUAUAGAUGUAUAGGUAUUGAAACUGGAAUUUUAGAUGCCAGGCCCAAAUUCCAGGAGUUUCACACAUCAGGUCUGGUUGAUUGCCCCUAUAGGUUAGGCACUGAGAAUCAGGGUUCAAGGCCAGCCCAAGCAGAAAAGUUCCUGAGACACUGUCUCAAAAAAUAAUCAGCAAGAAAAAACACCUGGGUGCAUGACUCCAGGUACUAGAGUAUCAGCUUAACAAACAUGAGGCUCUAAGUUCAAAACCAAAUACUGCUGAGGAGGAUAGUAAAAGUAGAGAAAGGAGAUUUACAUGGCACCUAUGGGAAGAUCACACUUCAACCCAUCUUCCACUCUUUUCAGAGUACAGACAAGAGCUAUAGGUUUAAAUAGAGAAUUAGGGUGUAGGGAGUGAGGGGCAUGCAUGAACCAGUCCCAAGUCACGGACAUAUUUUGGUAGUUGGGAGUUGCAUCUAAGGUGGUCUGACAAUUCAUUGUCUUGAGAUUGGAUUGGUCAAGUGGUGAUUUAGUGUAAUAAGAAUCAUUGAUGUGGGCCGGAUAUGUAACUUAGCAAUAGAGUGCUUGCCUAGCAUGCAUGAAGCCCUGGGUUUCAUUCCUCAGCACCACAUAAACAGAAGAGGCAGGAAGUGGUGCUGUGGGUCAAUAAGUAGAGUGCUAGCCUUGAGCAAAAAGAAGCUCAGGGACAGUGCUCAGGCCCUGAGUUCAAGCCCCAGGACUGGGAAAAAAAAAAUCAUUGAUGCCUGGGAGGUGGUCUAGCCUCUUGAGUCUCUUGGUCACUCCUUCCUGGUUUUCAUAAGGGCUAUAAGGCUAUUGUGGGAGGGUAUGGCUCAGGGCAAAAGAGGUGAGAUAAUACAUUUUUCUCCUGAUUUUAAUUGGUUCUGAGGCCCAAGUCAGGAGUCAAUACUUUACAGCAAAUGCAGUUUUUAAACACCUGUUACAGUAUUUCUAUUGUAUGAUUAUUUACAUUCCUUCAGAUAUAUGCCAUAGACAUCUAAAGGUAUCAUAGGGUAGUUCUAUUUUUAGUUUUUUGAGGAACCUCUACACAGAUUUCCAUUGUAGCUGCACUAAUUUGCAUUUCCAUACACAGUGUGUGGGGGUUGUCCAGAUGUUGGCUUUCUGAAAAGGAUCAAAUGGAAUCAAAAUGUAGUUUUGAGUUGCAUUUCCUGAUGGCUAAUGUUACUGAAUAUUUCUUCAUGUAUUUAUUGGCCAUUUGUACUACUUUUAAGAACUGCUGAUUCAAUUCAUAUGCCCAUUUAUUGCUUACAUUAUUUGUUCUUUUGUCUUUUCAUUCUUUGCAUUCUUUAUAUGUUAAUCCUUUAUCCAAUGAAUAGCUGACAAUUUUUUCUCCCAUUCUACAGGAUGCUUCAUUUAGUAGUUGUUUCAUUUGAUGUGCAAAUCUCUUUAUUUUGAUGUAAUACCGUUUAUAAAUGCUUGGUCUUAUUUACUGGGCUGUUCAGGAAGAUGUUGCCUAUGAUUAUAU